GGGAGCGCCCCCCGCCCCAGAAAUGAGCCAUUUACGGGGAUUUUGGCGUCUUCUUGCAAAUCAAAAAAAAAAAAAAGAUGGUGCGAGGAAAACAAUACGGGUAUAUCUGGGCUGGAAGGCUCCUGGAGGGGCAGGCAGCGCUGAGCGGGCUCCCGACGGCUUGGGCCGCGCCGCCGCCCCGGCUCCCCCGCGCCCGGGGCAGGGCGUCCCGUGGCGGGGCGGGCGAGGCUGCCGGGAGAGCUGCUCGCCCUCUGCGCCUCCGGGCCGCCGCAGGAGCCAGGCAGAACUGAGAUGCUGAGUGUGACAGAGACAUCUCCCAAAGAGGAAUUUCAGAAUUCUGUUCUGCAGCCGUGACGCUGACAACAUUCAGAGUUGGUGAAGACGGCUAACUACAACCCACACAGACAGACAGUGAAGACUGCACACUCCACCAAGAGACCAGGACACAGGCCACAGAUUUUCACAAGGAUAUCAUAAGAAGAAAGUGUUAUAAAAAUCAGUCAUGGAUUCACCAUGUGACACGAUGGCCUGCAUCACUCCCCUCCAUUAAUCCCUAUCCUGCAUCCCUGAGCUGUAGUUGUAGAACCUCAUCCAUUACUGCCAUGCUAUGGGUUCACCUUAGUGCCUCAAUUCAGGGUGCUGGAUGCUGCAGAAGCAAACAUAUGCUGGAGACUUGCCUGUGUAACACAGGACCUAGCAUCCUUUGAGAGUUCCCUUUGGACUGUGCAUACCUCUGAGGGGAAUGAAAAAGGUUUGUUGCAAAAGUUUGUGCCGAUUUGGUAAAGAGGACUAAUUGGGGUGAGUCACUGGUAAGACUUCAACAUUGUGAGUUGGAACAAAAAUCUCAGUGGAAAAGUACAAGAAUUAUUUAAAUGUUUUAAAUUAUAAUUUGUCAUGAAGAAAAAGACAACAUUUCAUCCAAAGGUAAUUUUACAGGAGUGAUUGCUCUGACAUGAGAAGCAGACAAUAAAGGACGUGCCAGCCCAGGAAAAUGUGUGUGGAGUCAUUGGCAGGACACGCAUGGGAAGAUAAAAACUAAAAAUCCAAGUGAACUCUCUGGCAUAACAGCAGACAAUAUUGCAGCUGAUGACAAUAAAGUUCCCACACUAAUACUUCAGUAGGAAAAGGUGCCAAUAAAGACCUUAUUGAAAAGCACACAGAA